CUAUGUCGGCGACCGGCGCACGGGUGCGUAACGCGUAUGCAACCUACCCAUUACAGGGGGAUAACACUGAGAAAUCGGUACUAAUACCCCAUAACAUCCAGGGAGGCAUCUUCUUGGGUUGAAAACUCCGGUGGUAAUGGAUGGGCAUACGUUGUAUUAGUUAGUUGGUGGGGUAACGGCUCACCAAGACAACGAUACAUAGGGGGACUGAGAGGUUAACCCCCCACAUUGGUACUGAGACACAGACCAAACUCCUACGGAAGGCAGCAG
rnacentral:rRNA from 1 species